AACUGAUACUACCUGCGGGAACCUGCGGAAGGAUCAUUACUGAGUGAGGGCCCCUCGGGGUCCAACCUCCCACCCGUGUUUAACGAACCUUUGUUGCUUCGGCGGGCCCGCCUCACGGCCGCCGGGGGGCUCCUGCCCCCGGGCCCGCGCCCGCCGAAGCCCCCCCUUGAACGCUGUCUGAAGUUUGCAGUCUGAGAAACUAGCUAAAUUAGUUAAAACUUUUAACAACGGAUCUCUAGA
rnacentral:misc_RNA from 1 species